rnacentral:rRNA from 1 species
UUCAAGCGUCAGAGGUGAAAUUCUUGGAUUGCUUGAAGACUAACUACUGCGAAAGCAUUUGCCAAGGAUGUUUUCAUUAAUCAGUGAACGAAAGUUAGGGGAUCGAAGACGAUCAGAUACCGUCGUAGUCUUAACCAUAAACUAUGCCGACUAGGGAUCGGACGGUGUUAGUAUUUUGACCCGUUCGGCACCUUACGAGAAAUCAAAGUUUUUGGGUUCUGGGGGGAGUAUGGUCGCAAGGCUGAAACUUAAAGAAAUUGACGGAAGGGCACCACCAGGCGUGGAGCCUGCGGCUUAAUUUGACUCAAC